AUGCUCUUUCGGCGUACCGGGAUUAUCUCUCUGCUUACACUCAGUGGUGCAAUGAUGAUGCUCGUGCUGCUGCUGUUUCUUACUGCCAGUGUCCUCCCUCAGUUUGCUUCGGGGUUCAUGGGACUUGGCACAGUUGCAGCGAUGUGGUCUUAUAUUUGUCAGCGCUAUCAGCCCUCUGGUGAUGCUCUCUAUCUCUCUGUAGUGCGUCAGGAGCACGCCCUCCAGCAAGGUGAUUCCUCUGUUGAUGAGUUCUAUUCACAGUGCUCUGCCAUCUGGCGUCAGCUUGACUCUCUUCGGACAGUUGUUUGUGGCACCUGUCGUUGCUGUCAGACUACUCGGUAUGAUCUGGAGUUUCAGCGGGUCCAUGAGUUCUUAUCUCGUCUCCGCUCUGAGUUUGAGCCCAAACGUGCUCACUUGCUUGCUCGAGGUCGUGUUCCAAUCUCGGAGGUGCUUGCUGAGCUUCGUGCUGAGGAGACCCGCCUCCGCUCUGCUGGUUUGCUGGUGGUCCCGUCUGUGUUGGCUGCUCGAGCUCCUGUGUCGUCUGCUCGGAUCACCACUCCACCGCUCCUCCCCACACCUUCAGGGGGGUGA
rnacentral:rRNA from 1 species